rnacentral:rRNA from 1 species
CCUACGGGUGGCAGCAGUCGAGAAUCAUUCACAAUGGGGGAAACCCUGAUGGUGCGACGCCGCGUGGGGGAAUGAAGGUCUUCGGAUUGUAAACCCCUGUCAUGUGGGAGCAAAUUAAAAAGAUAGUACCACAAGAGGAAGAGACGGCUAACGCUGUGCCAGCAGUCGCGGUAAUACAGAGGUCUCAAGCGUUGUUCGGAAUCACUGGGCGUAAAGCGUGCGUAGGCUGUUUCGUAAGUCGUGUGUGAAAGGCGCGGGCUCAACCCGCGGACGGCACAUGAUACUGCGAGACUAGAGUACUGGUGGGGGAACCGGAAUUCUCGGUGUAGCAGUGAAAUGCGUAGAUAUCGAGAGGAACCCUCGUGGCGAAGGCAGGUUCCUGGACAUUAACUGACGCUGAGGCACGAAGGCCAGGGGAGCGAAAGGGAUUAGAUACCCGAGUAGUC